GUGCAUUGUAGUUGCAUUGCAUGCGCCGCCAGCAUCAGAGGUGCAAUGCACUUGCAGUGCAGUA
rnacentral:pre_miRNA from 1 species